GAGAUCUUAGCUUAAUUAAAGUGCCUGAGUUGCAAUCAGGUGAUGCAAAUUAGAGUUUUGUGGGUCUUC
rnacentral:tRNA from 1 species